UACCCUUUGGUUCGGGACAACUCUGGGAAACUGGAGCUAAUACCGGAUACGCCCUUUUGGGGAAAGGUUUACUGCCGAAGGAUCGGCCCGCGUCUGAUUAGCUAGUUGGUGGGGUAACGGCCUACCAAGGCGACGAUCAGUAGCUGGUCUGAGAGGAUGAUCAGCCACACUGGGACUGAGACACGGCCCAGACUCCUACGGGAGGCAGCAGUGGGGAAUAUUGGACAAUGGGCGCAAGCCUGAUCCAGCCAUGCCGCGUGAGUGAUGAAGGCCUUAGGGUUGUAAAGCUCUUUUAUCCGGGACGAUAAUGACGGUACCGGAGGAAUAAGCCCCGGCUAACUUCGUGCCAGCAGCCGCGGUAAUACGAAGGGGGCUAGCGUUGCUCGGAAUCACUGGGCGUAAAGGGCGCGUAGGCGGCGUUUUAAGUCGGGGGUGAAAGCCUGUGGCUCAACCACAGAAUGGCCUUCGAUACUGGGACGCUUGAGUCUGGUAGAGGUUGGUGGAACUGCGAGUGUAGAGGUGAAAUUCGUAGAUAUUCGCAAGAACACCGGUGGCGAAGGCGGCCAACUGGACCGGCACUGACGCUGAGGCGCGAAA
rnacentral:rRNA from 1 species